rnacentral:lncRNA from 1 species
UACCCCCCUCCCUCUUCUUCAUUUCUUCACUCAAAAUUCUGAUCUCAAUCUCAAUUCUCAAUUUCUCUCUUCCCUUCAAUUUGCAAGAUUUCAUCUUCUAAUUUUAUAAUUUUUAUUUGGCUCUCUUUUCUUGAAUUUAAUAUAUCGAAAAUUGUCAUUCGAAAUUUGAAGUUUGAAGUUCAAAAUUGAUAUACUUGCUUGACGUUUGUUCGUUGUAACACCGGAAUUGCGUAAUCAAGUGCUCAAUUUAUUGU